UGCACUCAAUUGGAAAGAGGAGUGGCGGACGGGUGAGUAACACGUGGGUAACCUACCCAUCAGAGGGGGAUAACACUUGGAAACAGGUGCUAAUACCGCAUAACAGUUUAUGCCGCAUGGCAUAAGAGUGAAAGGCGCUUUCGGGUGUCGCUGAUGGAUGGACCCGCGGUGCAUUAGCUAGUUGGUGAGGUUGCCCCCGC
rnacentral:rRNA from 1 species